UCACUAUCAGCUGAUUUUAUGUAAACAAAGGCACAGCUGAGAGGUGCCACUGUAGAAACGUCAAGUGUAGUCCGAGGUUGAGUUUCUAUUUGAAUCCAAGAUGGCCGACUUUUAACAAAGAUGGCCGACUUUUCACCGGAAAAUGGUUGCAUUGUGUUAUUUUCUUAAAAUUUAUGGAAAAGUUGUCCCAAAAAUAUUGGUUAUAUAUAAAAGUUUAAUAUAUUUUCAAAAGAAAAUCGUUUUAUUUUAAUAUAUAUUCUUAAAGAUGAGAACAAUAUGAGCUAAUACAUGAAAAAUUAAGUUUUUUAUUUAUGCCUCUUUUUAACUGUGGUAAGUUAAUAAAUGUUCACCACAGAAAAAUGUUACGAACAAAUAAGCAACCAUGCCGAAUAGUGGGGUCCAGAUUAUACUCAUUCACAGCCAUAUUUACAUUUUUGCCAUCGUAACGAAGGUUUUCGCAAGGAAAUUUGUUUGAGUUUAUUUCAUGGUUAAAUGCUUUACGGUGGUUUAUUUAGUUAUUUGAAUCUGGAAGAAGUGUGCAAAUUUCCCUUGAGACGGUAAAUAACAGAUCGGGUUGGGAUUUUAUUCCAAUAAAAGUACGGAAUAACUAAACAUGGCCUCGUUAAUACUGCUGCGUAAUGGGUCAGGUGCUGUUCCAAUUUUAUGGUUUAAGAGAUGUAAAAGCGAUAUGCGAUGCUGUGAAGUACUCAAAUGUAUUUACGAACUUAGUUGGUCGUGAAUUCGAAACAAAAUUUUAAAUUCAAUGACGUGCUUGUGGAAGGUGCACGUCGCAUUGCUAGGUAAGCUAAAAUUAAACUUUAUUUCAAAAGAUUUACCAUGUAAUUUUUAUUUUUUUUUAUAGAAUCAGCAAAGAAGCUGAUGUAGAACGUUUGAUUAUUUGUCUGCUUUAAACGCUAGUCCCAAACCAAUGAGCUUUGUGUUUGAGGGUGGAAGUAACUUUUUGAAGAGCAAAUACUCCGGUGAGCACAUUCGGAUGUUAUACAAGCUAUUGUCAAUUGCGUUUAGGAUCCCGAUACUGCUGGUCAGGUUUAUCAAGCUGUUGGACCAAAGCGUUACCAGUUGAGCGAAUUAAUUGGCUGGUUUCAUCGUGUUAUGCACAAAAAUCCUAUCCUACCUUCUUAUUGAAAGCCAAGUUCACUGAGCUUAUCUGUCCUGGACAACCUAUUGGUGAGCUACAUAUGGAACGUAUCGAUCGCGAAUGUAUUACCGAUGCCGUUCCCUCGGAAAUACCGUGGUUGAAGAAUUUGGGUGUACAAUUGACCUCCAUGGAAGAGCAAGUACCAUGGGAAUUGUGACCAUAUCGUGCUGCGCAAUAUUAUGAUGCCGAAUUGGGAGAGUGGGGGAACCAGCUCCACCAAAACCGAUAGAACACCGGGAAGAACUACGCAAAUUAUAAACAACACUCAUCAAAUGAAAGUUGGCAGCGUUGGUGACUAAGCAGCGAUUUGUAAAAGAAACAUUUGCAUCUACGCGAAUUACAAUUCGUCUUUACAUCUAGUGAAUUAUGGUCGAUUAUGAAUGGUGUGGAAGUUGAUAUUUAAACUUAAAAAAAAAA